rnacentral:rRNA from 1 species
UACGAAGGGGGCUAGCGUUGCUCGGAAUCACUGGGCGUAAAGCGCACGUAGGCGGAUUGCUAAGUCAGGGGUGAAAUCCUGGAGCUCAACUCCAGAACUGCCCUUGAUACUGGCGGUCUCGAGUCCGGGAGAGGUGAGUGGAACUGCGAGUGUAGAGGUGAAAUUCGUAGAUAUUCGCAAGAACGCCGGUGGCGAAAGCGGCACACUGGGUCUUAACUGACGCUGAGGCACGAAAGCCAGGGGAGCGAACGGG